rnacentral:tRNA from 1 species
GCGCGAUUAGCUCAGCGGGAGAGCACUACCUUGACACGGUAGGGGUCGCUGGUUCAAUCCCAGUAUCGCGCA